GCAUGUGAGGGUGAUCUGGCUACAACAUCAGUCACCCCAUUGAUCGCCAGGGUUGAUUCGGCUGAUCUGGCUGGCUAGGCGGGUGUCCCCUUCUUCCCUCACCACUCCAUGUGCAUCCCAAAGGACGACCUUCCCUGAUAGAGGAGGACCGUUCUUCAGUCAAGGGUAUACGAGUAGCUGUGCUCCCCUGCUAGAACCUCCAAACAAACUCUCAAGAAGGGAAAUCCGGGUGGGAUUUAGGGGUUGGAUAGAGGAGAGAGAGUUUAGUCCUGGAGAUAUAGUGACAUAGUUCACUGAGAUAAAGAUCUUUAGAG
ensembl:misc_RNA 7SK 7SK RNA